rnacentral:rRNA from 1 species
UACAGAGGGGGCGAGCGUUGUUCGGAAUUACUGGGCGUAAAGGGCGCGUAGGCGGCCCGCUAAGUCGGACGUGAAAUCCCCAGGCUCAACCUGGGAACUGCGUCCGAUACUGGCAGGCUUGAAUCCGGGAGAGGGAUGUGGAAUUCCAGGUGUAGCGGUGAAAUGCGUAGAUAUCUGGAGGAACACCGGUGGCGAAGGCGGCAUCCUGGACCGGUAUUGACGCUGAGGCGCGAAAGCUAGGGGAGCAAACGGG